UCACGUAGUGCAGCUGUGUUGGUGGCUGGAACUGCUACUGUUGGAUGUUACUGUUCUGACUAUUUUGCAAUGACUUGCAGAUUCAAGGGGCUGAUGGUAACAGAUGGUCGCCAGCAUGCGUUACGAGGUGAUAACCUCACCAUCAGUCAAGUUCAACGAUCAGACAGUGGAACGUACGAGUGCAUGGCAUCUAAUGAGAAGUAGCGUGUGUCAGCAUAUGCUACUCUUACUGUAGAAUACGCACUAGUGAUUGUAAACAGUCCUGAAAAUGUCGACAUUCCAGCAGGUUAUGAUACACAGUUUCAGUGUAAUGUUAGUGGGCAAGCAAACCCUAUAGUGUCAUGGCAACACAAUGGUGAAAAUCUCAAUCGUGUUUUGCUUCGUUAUCAAGUUAGAGAAGUGUGUGGUGUUCACACACUGACGAUUAAGAGUGUAACGAAUGCAGACAAUGGACGAUACACUUGAUCAGUAACCAAUACGUAUGGGACGGUGUGAGUUGUGCAGAGUUAACAGUUGAUUCAUCAAUUGUACACAAGACAAUUGUUUAUGGUCAAAGUUAUACUUUGGGACCCAAAGCAGUAGGAACGGACAGCUUCAUAGUUCAGUGGACCAAAGAUUGCAAUGCAAUGAACCACAAGGAGAAGAGCAGAAUAAGCAAGAACACUGAUGGAACGUUGCUUAUCACAAAAGCUGAUUUUGUGGAUUCUGGUGAAUAUGAGUGGACAGCCAAGUCUGGUGCGGAUCGAUUUGAUCAGCGGAUUAUUGUAACUGUAGAGGUAAAUGCAAUGUGAAUAACUACAAUGUUAAUCACAUUAUUUGUC